GAGUUUGAUCUUGGCUCAGAUUGAACGCUGGCGGCAUGCCUUACACAUGCAAGUCGAACGGCAGCAUGAUCUAGCUUGCUAGAUUGAUGGCGAGUGGCGAACGGGUGAGUAAUACAUCGGAACGUGCCCUGUAGUGGGGGAUAACUAGUCGAAAGAUUAGCUAAUACCGCAUACGACCUGAGGGUGAAAGUGGGGGACCGCAAGGCCCUCAUGCUAUAGGAGCGGCCGAUGUCUGAUUAGCUAGUUGGUGGGGUAAAGGCCCACCAAGGCGACGAUCAGUAGCUGGUCUGAGAGGACGAUCAGCCACACUGGGACUGAGACACGGCCCAGACUCCUACGGGAGGCAGCAGUGGGGAAUUUUGGACAAUGGGCGAAAGCCUGAUCCAGCAAUGCCGCGUGUGUGAAG
rnacentral:rRNA from 1 species